UACGGAGGUUGCAAGCGUUGUUCGGAAUGACUGGGCGUAAAGGGAGCGCAGGCGGCCAAGUCAGUCUGAAGUGAAAGCCCGGGGCUUAACCCUGGAAUAGCUUUGGAUACUGCCUGGCUUGAGUGUGCGAUAGGAAAGCGGAAUUCCAGGUGUAGCGGUGAAAUGCGUAGAUAUCUGGAGGAACACCGGUGGCGAAAGCGGCUUUCUGGCGCAUAACUGACGCUGAGGCUCGAAAGCGUGGGGAGCGAACGGGAUUAGAUACCCGUGUA
rnacentral:rRNA from 1 species